rnacentral:rRNA from 1 species
UGGUAUGUACUGGCUUCGCUGAUUCCUCCUUUCUGAAGAACUGUAAUGUCAUUAAUUUGGUGUUGCAGGGAAACAGGACUGUUACUUUGAAAAAAUUAGAGUGUUUAAAGCAGGCUAACGCUUGAAUACAUUAGCAUGGAAUAAUGAAAUACAACGUUCGAUCCUAUUUUGUUGGUUUCUAGGAUUGACGUAAUGAUUAAUAGGGAUAGUUGGGGGCAUUAGUAUUCAAUUGUCAGAGGUGAAAUUCUUGGAUUUAUUGAAGACUAACUACUGCGAAAGCAUUUGCCAAGGAUGUUUUCAUUAAUCAAGAACGAAAGUUAGGGGAUCGAAGACGAUCAGAUACCGUCGUAGUCUUAACCAUAAACUAUGCCGACUAGGGAUCGGAUGAUGUUAAUUUUUAAUGAACCAAUCCGCCCCCUACC